rnacentral:lncRNA from 1 species
UCUCUUUUCUUCUUUUUCUAAAAUGAAUCUGGGAGUUUCCUUUAGCCCCUGUUUUGUGGUCGCCUCCCAUACACGUUUUAUCUGUCCGUGGCAUUUUCUUUUAUUUAUUGAAAGCACCGUGUCUUAGAUCAAGUCUUGAGAAACAGAACCUGAGACAAACAUGAAUGUGGUUAAUUGAACGAGCGCUGUGCAGGAAAAGCUGUACUGGAGAGAGGCCUGGCCUGGUGUUCAGAACACAAAUGUGAAAAAUCAGACCGGGAAGAUCACGGGAGGCAGGAAGCAUCUGGUUUGCAGGAGUCUCACUCUGUCACCCAGGCUGGAGUGCAGUGGCGUGAUCUCAGCUGACUGCAAUCUCCACCCAAGUUCAAGAGAUUCUUCUGCCUCAGCCUCCCACGUAGCUGGGACUACAGGGCAUGUGGCAGAGAAGUGUGGGCAGACAAGACACAGAGAAGUGGAGAUGAGACUCUUCAGACCCUUGAAUGACAUGUUGAAGAGCUUGGAAUUUUCUUAUAGAACGUAGGUAAUCAAUAGAGAGGUUUCAUCCGAGGAAUGAUAAAAAUCCAUUUGGGAAACAGAGGCGGUGUGGAGGAUGGGUCAAGAGAGAAUCAGAAGGCAGAUGAUUUACAGCAAUCCAGGCCAGAUAUCAGGAGGGCCUACUCUAAGAUUGCUUUUAGCAUAGCUACUGGGGAAGAGUCGGGCAGGAGAGCCCAGAGGCCCCGCAUGUGAUGGAAACAGCUGCCCAAACUGCAUCUUCAGGUAAAUAUGGCAGACCAUAGUUCCCCCUUCAUAAAGGCCUCUUGGGCGUGUUUCCUGGAAGGAAGAGGUGGGAGAUGUCGCCAUGCUCAGCACAUACGUGAGGUGUUGCAUUAGUCUCCUGGGGCUGCCGUAACAAAGUACCACAAAGCAGAUGGAAACAACAUGCAUUUUUCCCCCCACAGUUCUGGAAGGUGGAAGGCCAGGAUCAGGUGUCAGGAGGGUUGGUUUUUUCUGGGGGUUCUGAGAGAAUCUGAGGGGAAUUCCAUGGCUUUCUCCCAGCUUCUGGUAGUUGCUGGCAAUCCCUGGUGUUCCUGGGCCUGUAGACACGUCACCCCCAUCUCCGCCUCUGUUUUCAUGUGGCAUCCUCCCCGGUGCGUGUCUGUGUGCCCCAACCCCCUUGUCUUAUGAGGCCCACUCUAAUCCAACAGGACCUCGUCUUUACAUAAUCAGAUCUGCUAAGAUCCUGUUUCCAAAUAAGGCCAUGUUCACAGAUACCUAGGGUUAGGACUUGGACAUAUCUUUUGGGGGGACCCGAUUCAACUCACAACAGGUGUUUGAGGGCAGCUCUAGUUGAGAGUGUCAGAGAACCUCUGGCUUAAAGGAGGAACAGGGAGUCUAUCUGCUUGCAAUGUCUGAAGUAGAGUGGAGUGGCUUUACUGUCCUUGGUAGAGAGCAUGUCCUGCUUCAUUCUCAGGAAGGAUCUCACUGUGAGGUGGCUACGAUUACUCUCUGCCCACCCUGGUUGCAUCUGGCUUACAGAAGACAAUCCCAGAAGAAACAGUCUCCCCCAAAGUCCGCAGCAACCCUUCCACUAGGAGUCUACUCCUGCUUACACAAGGCCCAUGCUCACGCCUCACCCCACUGCUGUGUCCAGGGCUUCGUGGUAUCCUGAUGGGCUAGCGUGGGUCACACUCCCACCCUUUGAGCCAUGGGCCCACCUAGUCCAAAUCAUAACAACUGAACAGGAUGAUCACAGGUUGUGGAGAUGAAUCUGCCAAAGUGAUGCUAGGCAGUGCGCUUUCUUUUUUAUUUUUAAAAUAUUUUUUGCAUGUAUGUAUGUAUGUGAGACAGUCUCGCUCU